rnacentral:rRNA from 1 species
CCUACGGGGAGCAGCAGUGGGGAAUAUUGGGCAAUGGGCGCAAGCCUGACCCAGCAACGCCGCGUGAAGGAAGAAGGCUUUCGGGUUGUAAACUUCUUUUCUCAGGGACGAAGCAAGUGACGGUACCUGAGGAAUAAGCCACGGCUAACUACGUGCCAGCAGCCGCGGUAAUACGUAGGUGGCAAGCGUUAUCCGGAUUUACUGGGUGUAAAGGGCGUGUAGGCGGGGACGCAAGUCAGAUGUGAAAACCACGGGCUCAACCUGUGGCCUGCAUUUGAAACUGUGUUUCUUGAGUACUGGAGAGGCAGACGGAAUUCCUAGUGUAGCGGUGAAAUGCGUAGAUAUUAGGAGGAACACCGGUGGCGAAGGCGGCCUGCUGGACUGUGACUGACGUUGAGGCCCGAAGGCGUGGGGAGCAAACAGGAUUAGAUACCCGGGUAGUC